rnacentral:rRNA from 1 species
AAUGAACGCUGGCGGCAUGCCUAACACAUGCAAGUCGAGCGAACGAAGGGGGAGUGUGCCUGGAUGAAGCGGGGGACGGAUGGGUAAGGAACAGGAAGAUGACCGGCAGAGGAGGAUAAGGUAAGGAAAGGGAAGCGGAGAUCGUAUAGGACAAGAGGGAGAAAGGGAGGGAUCAACGGAGAAAGAGGGAUCAGAUGAGACUAAGACGGAUUAGCUAGUUGGUGAGGUAAAGGGGUACCAAGGCGACGAUCCGUAACUGCUCUGAGAGGAUGAUCAGCCACACUGGAACUGAGACACGGUCCAGACUCCUACGGGAGGCAGCAGUGGGGAAUCUUCCGCAAUGGGCGAAAGCCUGAUCCAGCCACGCCGCGUGUGUGAUGAAGGUCUUCGGAUCGUAAAGCUCUUUUAUUUGGGAAGAACAAAUGUGUGUUUAUCUCUUCCCGUCUUGACGUUACCUAAUCAGUAAGCCACGGCUAACUUCGUG